AUUGAACGCUGGCGGCAGGCCUAACACAUGCAAGUCGAACGAGUCGGGGGCGUGUGAGUAAUGUCUGGGACACUGCCUGGGGGAGGGGGAUAACUACUGGAAACGGUCGCUGAUACCGCAUACCAUCGGAUGUGCCGAGAUGGGAUUAGCUAGUUGGUGGGGUAAAGGCUCACCUAGGCGACGAUCCCUAGCGGGUGUGAGAGGAUGAACAGCCACACUGGAACUGAGACACGGUCCAGACUCCUACGGGAGGCAGCAGUGGGGAAUAUUGGACAAUGGGCGCAAGCCUGAUGCAGCCAUGCCGCGUGUAUGAAGAAGGCCUUCGGGUUGUAAAGGACUUUCAGCGGGGAGGCGUUACCCGCAGAAGAAGCACCGGCUAACUCCGUGCCAGCCGCCGCGGUAAUUC
rnacentral:rRNA from 1 species